rnacentral:rRNA from 1 species
UGGGGAAUCUUGCACAAUGGGGGAAACCCUGAUGCAGCGACGCCGCGUGAGCGAUGAAGCCCUUCGGGGUGUAAAGCUCUUUCGGCAGGGACGAUAAUGACGGUACCUGAAGAAGAAGCUGCGGCUAACUACGUGCCAGCAGCCGCGGUAAUACGUAGGCAGCGAGCGUUGUUCGGAGUUACUGGGCGUAAAGAGUGCGUAGGCGGUGGCCCAAGUCUGGUGUGAAAUCUCCCGGCUCAACCGGGAGGGUGCGCCGGAAACUGGGUUGCUUGAGUACUGGAGAGGCAGGCGGAAUUCCUGGUGUAGCGGUGAAAUGCGUAGAUAUCAGGAGGAACACCCGUGGUGUAGACGGCCUGCUGGACAGUCACUGACGCUGAGGCACGAAAGCGUGGGGAGCAAACAGGAUUAGAUACCCUGGUAGUCCACGCCCUAAACGAUGCAUACUUGGUGUGGGCAGUUCAGUCUGUCCGUGCCGAAGCUAACGCG